AACAACAUGGACUUACAAUUGUAUCCUCACAUACAACAAACAAACAGAAGCACGAAGCAAAGAGGACAUAAGUGGCCAAUGAAAUGGUCUCACACUCAAUCCCUUCCAAAUCAUAGGAACAGUGGCCAAUAACUGGACUUACAACUGAUUCCUCAAUGGGCAAACUCAGACAAACCACAAAGAUAUGAAAUGAUGAUCAUGCAAUAAUGAACAAUU
rnacentral:lncRNA from 1 species